rnacentral:rRNA from 1 species
AUUGAACGCUGGCGGCAUGCCUUACACAUGCAAGUCGAACGGCAGCACGGGUGCUUGCACCUGGUGGCGAGUGGCGAACGGGUGAGUAAUACAUCGGAACAUGUCCUGUAGUGGGGGAUAGCCCGGCGAAAGCCGGAUUAAUACCGCAUACGAUCUACGGAUGAAAGCGGGGGACCUUCGGGCCUCGCGCGAUAGGGUUGGCCGAUGGCUGAUUAGCUAGUUGGUGGGGUAAAGGCCUACCAAGGCGACGAUCAGUAGCUGGUCUGAGAGGACGACCAGCCACACUGGGACUGAGACACGGCCCAGACUCCUACGGGGGGCAGCAGUGGGGAAUUUUGGACAAUGGGCGAAAGCCUGAUCCAGCAAUGCCGCGUGUGUGAAGAAGGCCUUCGGGUUGUAAAGCACUUUUGUCCGGAAAGAAAUCCUUGGCCCUAAUACGGUCGGGGGAUGACGGUACCGGAAGAAUAAGCACCGGCUAACUACGUG